rnacentral:rRNA from 11 species
GGCCGAAGUGGAGAAAGGUUCCACGUGAACAGCAAUUGGACGUGGGUUAGUCGAUCCUAAGAGAUAGGAGAAAUCCGUUUCAAAGCGGGUGAUUUUCGGAUCGCCUCUUCUAUCGAAAGGUAAUCGGGUUAAUAUUCCCGAACCAGGACGUGGAUAUUGAGUGGUAACACAAGCUAAGCUGGGGACGGCAGCGGGGGCCCCGGGGAGAGUUCUCUCUUCUUGUUAACAAGCGCACUGACCCUGGAAUCGGAUCGACCGGAGAUAGGGUUGGGGGCUUGGAAAAGGCGGUUAAUUUUUGACCGCUCCGGUGCGCUCUCGAUGUCCCAUGAAAACUCAGCGGAGUGACUUAUUCGCACCCCUGGUCGUACUCAUAACCGCAUCAGGUC